CACGUAGGGUGCGAGCGUUGUCCGGAAUUAUUGGGCGUAAAGAGCUCGUAGGCGGUCCGUCACGUCGGAUGUGAAAUUCCAGGGCUCAACCCUGGACCUGCAUUCGAUACGGGCGGACUAGAGUUCGGUAGGGGAGACUGGAAUUCCUGGUGUAGCGGUGAAAUGCGCAGAUAUCAGGAGGAACACCGGUGGCGAAGGCGGGUCUCUGGGCCGAUACUGACGCUGAGGUGCGAAAGCGUGGGGAGCAAACAGG
rnacentral:rRNA from 1 species